rnacentral:rRNA from 1 species
UACGUAGGGGGCGAGCGUUAUCCGGAAUUAUUGGGCGUAAAGAGUGCGUAGGUGGUCUUGUAAGCGUGGGGUGAAAGGCAGUGGCUUAACCAUUGUAAGCCCUGCGAACUGUGAGACUUGAGUGCAGGAGAGGAAAGCGGAAUUCCUAGUGUAGCGGUGAAGUGCGUAGAUAUUAGGAGGAACACCAGUGGCGAAGGCGGCUUUCUGGACUGUAACUGACACUGAGGCACGAAAGCGUGGGGAGCAAACAGGAUUAGAUACCCUGGUAGUCCACGCCGUAAACGAUGAGCACUAGGUGUCGGGGUCGCAAGACUUCGGUGCCGCAGUUAACGCAUUAAGUGCUCCGCCUGGGGAGUACGCACGCAAGUGUGAA